AUACGGAGGGUGCAAGCGUUACUCGGAAUCACUGGGCGUAAAGCGCGCGCAGGCGGUCUUUUAAGUUGGAUGUGAAAGCCUACGGCUCAACCGUAGAACUGCAUCCAAAACUAUUAGACUAGAGUGAGGGAGAGGAAGAUGGAAUUAGUUGUGUAGGGGUAAAAUCCGUAGAGAUAACUAGGAAUACCAAAAGCGAAGGCAAUCUUCUGGAACACUACUGACGCUGAGGCGCGAAAGCGUGGGGAGCAAACAGGAUUAGAAACCCUAGUAGUCC
rnacentral:rRNA from 1 species